rnacentral:snRNA from 1 species
GUGCUUGCUUCGGCAAGCACCGAAGCACAUACACUAAAAUUGGAAUGAUAAAGAGGCCCCUGCACAAGGAAGAUACACAAAUUUCUGAAGAGUUCCAUGUUUUG